GAUGAACGCUGACAGCAUGCUUAACACAUGCAAGUCAACUUGAAUUUGGGUUUUUAACUUAGGUUUGGGUGGCGGACGGGUGAGUAACGCGUAAAGAACUUGCCUCACAGCUAGGGACAACAUUUGGAAACGAAUGCUAAUACCUAAUAUUAUGAUAAUAGGGCAUCCUAUAAUUAUGAAAGCUAUAAGCGCUGUGAGAGAGCUUUGUGUCCCAUUAGCUAGUUGGAGAGGUAACGGCUCACCAAGGCGAUGAUGGGUAGCCGGCCUGAGAGGGUGAUCGGCCACAAGGGGACUGAGACACGGCCCUUACUCCUACGGGAGGCAGCAGUGGGGAAUAUUGGACAAUGGACCGAGAGUCCGAUCCAGCAAUUCUGUGUGCACGAUGAAGUUUUUCGGAAUGUAAAGUGCUUUCAGUUGGGAAGAAACAAAUGACGGUACCAACAGAAGAAGUGACGGCUAAAUACGUG
rnacentral:rRNA from 1 species